AGUGAACGCUGGCGGUAGGCCUAACACAUGCAAGUCGAACGGCAGCACAGUAAGAGCUUGCUCUUACGGGUGGCGAGUGGCGGACGGGUGAGGAAUACAUCGGAAUCUACUUUUUCGUGGGGGAUAACGUAGGGAAACUUACGCUAAUACCGCAUACGACCUACGGGUGAAAGCAGGGGAUCUUCGGACCUUGCGCGAUUGAAUGAGCCGAUGUCGGAUUAGCUAGUUGGCGGGGUAAAGGCACACCAAGGCGACGAUCCGUAGCUGGUCUGAGAGGAUGAUCAGCCACCCUGGAACUGAGACACGGUCCAGACUCCUACGGGAGGCAGCAGUGGGGAAUAUUAGACAAUGGGCGCAAGCCUGAUCCAGCCAUACCGCGUGGGUGAAGAAGGCCUUCGGGUUGUAAAGCCCUUUUGUUGGGAAAGAAAAGCAGCAGGUUAAUACCCCGCUGUUCUGACGGUACCCAAAGAAUAAGCACCGGCUAACUUCGUG
rnacentral:rRNA from 1 species